rnacentral:rRNA from 1 species
AGAUUGAACGCUGGCGGCAGGCCUAACACAUGCAAGUCGAGCGGUAGAGAGGUGCUUGCACCUCUUGAGAGCGGCGGACGGGUGAGUAAAGCCUAGGAAUCUGCCUGGUAGUGGGGGAUAACGCUCGGAAACGGACGCUAAUACCGCAUACGUCCUACGGGAGAAAGCAGGGGACCUUCGGGCCUUGCGCUAUCAGAUGAGCCUAGGUCGGAUUAGCUAGUUGGUGAGGUAAUGGCUCACCAAGGCGACGAUCCGUAACUGGUCUGAGAGGAUGAUCAGUCACACUGGAACUGAGACACGGUCCAGACUCCUACGGGAGGCAGCAGUGGGGAAUAUUGGACAAUGGGACGAAAGCCUGAUCCAGCCAUGCCGCGUGGAGGAUGAA